UGCGUAGGCGGGCUAAUAAGUCAGUGGUGAAAUCUUUCGGCUCAACCGAGAAACUGCCAUUGAUACUGUUAGUCUUGAGUUCGGUUGAGGUAGGCGGAAUGUGUAAUGUAGCGGUGAAAUGCUUAGAUAUUACACAGAACACCAAUUGCGUAGGCAGCUUACUAGACCGACACUGACGCUGAGGCACGAAAGCGUGGGGAGCGAACAGGAUUAGAUACCUGGUAGUCC
rnacentral:rRNA from 1 species